rnacentral:rRNA from 1 species
UGGAGAAUUGAGGGGGGCUGCUCCUAGUACGAGAGGACCGGAGUGGACGCAUCACUGGUGUUCGGGUUGUCAUGCCAAUGGCACUGCCCGGUAGCUAAAUGCGGAAGAGAUAAGUGCUGAAAGCAUCUAAGCACGAAACUUGCCCCGAGAUGAGUUCUCCCUGACUCCUUGAGAGUCCUGAAGGAACGUUGAAGACGACGACGUUGAUAGGCCGGGUGUGUAAGCGCAGCGAUGCGUUGAGCUAACCGGUACUAAUGAACCGUGAGGCUUAACCUUACAACGCCGAAG